rnacentral:rRNA from 1 species
UCUGUAGCAAGGUUAACCGUAUAGGGGAGCCGAAGGGAAACCGAGUCUUAACUGGGCGUUAAGUUGCAGGGUAUAGACCCGAAACCCGGUGAUCUAGCCAUGGGCAGGUUGAAGGUUGGGUAACACUAACUGGAGGACCGAACCGACUAAUGUUGAAAAAUUAGCGGAUGACCUGUGGCUGGGGGUGAAAGGCCAAUCAAACCGGGAGAUAGCUGGUUCUCCCCGAAAGCUAUUUAGGUAGCGCCUCGUGAACUCAUCUUCGGGGGUAGAGCACUGUUUCGGCUAGGGGGCCAUCCCGGCUUACCAACCCGAUGCAAACUACGAAUACCGAAGAAUGUUAUCACGGGAGACACACGGCGGGUGCUAACGUCCGUCGUGAAGAGGGAAACAACCCAGACCGCCAGCUAAGGUCCCAAAGUCAUGGUUAAGUGGGAAACGAUGUGGGAAGGCACAGACAGCCAGGAUGUUGGCUUAGAAGCAGCCAUCAUUUAAAGAAAGCGUAAUAGCUCACUGGUCGAGUCGGCCUGCGCGGAAGAUGUAACGGGGCUAAACCAUG